rnacentral:rRNA from 1 species
ACAAAUAAUGUGUAGGAUAGGUGGGAGACUUCGAAGCUGUGUCGCCAGGCAUGGUGGAGUCGUUGUUGAAAUACCACCCUUAUUUUAUCUGAUGCCUAAUCCCUCACAGGAGACAUUGUGUGGUGGGUAGUUUGACUGGGGUGGUCGCCUCCAAAAGAGUAACGGAGGCUUUCAAAGGUUCCCUCAGUACGCUUGGUAACCGUACGCAGAGCGCAAUAGCAUAAGGGAGCUUGACUGUGAGACCUACAAGUCGAUCAGGGUCGAAAGACGGAUAUAGUGAUCCGGUGGUUCCGCAUGGAAGGGCCAUCGCUCAAAGGAUAAAAGGUACGCCGGGGAUAACAGGCUGAUCUCCCCCAAGAGCUCACAUCGACGGG